rnacentral:rRNA from 1 species
UACGUAGGGUGCAAGCGUUAAUCGGAAUUACUGGGCGUAAAGCGUGCGCAGGCGGUUGUGUAAGACAGAUGUGAAAUCCCCGGGCUCAACCUGGGAACUGCAUUUGUGACUGCACAGCUGGAGUGCGGCAGAGGGGGAUGGAAUUCCGCGUGUAGCAGUGAAAUGCGUAGAUAUGCGGAGGAACACCGAUGGCGAAGGCAAUCCCCUGGGCCUGUACUGACGCUCAUGCACGAAAGCGUGGGGAGCAAACAGG